rnacentral:tRNA from 1 species
GUCCUAAUAGUAUAAUCCAUUACUUUGGUCUUGUAAACCAAAAAUGAAGAAAUGUCUUCUUAGGGCA